UACGUAGGGUGCAAGCGUUGUCCGGAAUUAUUGGGCGUAAAGAGCUCGUAGGCGGUUCGUCACGUCGGCUGUGAAAUCCCGAGGCUCAACCUCGGGUCUGCAGUCGAUACGGGCGGACUAGAGUACUGCAGGGGAGACUGGAAUUCCUGGUGUAGCGGUGGAAUGCGCAGAUAUCAGGAGGAACACCGGUGGCGAAGGCGGGGUCUCUGGGCAGUAACUGACGCUGAGGAGCGAAAGCGUGGGGAGCGAACAGG
rnacentral:rRNA from 1 species